rnacentral:rRNA from 1 species
GGCAGGCCUAACACAUGCAAGUCGAGCGGAUGAGAAGAGCUUGCUCUUCGAUUCAGCGGCGGACGGGUGAGUAAUGCCUAGGAAUCUGCCUGGUAGUGGGGGACAACGUUUCGAAAGGAACGCUAAUACCGCAUACGUCCUACGGGAGAAAGCAGGGGACCUUCGGGCCUUGCGCUAUCAGAUGAGCCUAGGUCGGACUAGCUAGUUGGUGAGGUAAUGGCUCACCAAGGCGACGAUCCGUAACUGGUCUGAGAGGAUGAUCAGCCACACUGGAACUGAGACACGGUCCAGACUCCUACGGGAGGCAGCAGUGGGGAAUAUUGGACAAUGGGCGAAAGCCUGAUCCAGCCAUGCCGCGUGUGUGAAGAAGGUCUUCGGAUUGUAAAGCACUUUAAGUUGGGAGGAAGGGCAUUAACCUAAUACGUUAGUGUUUUGACGUUACCGACAGAAUAAGCACCGGCUAACUCUGUGCCAGCAGCCGCGGUAAUACAGAGGGUGCAAGCGUUAAUCGGAAUUACUGGGCGUAAAGCGCGCGUAGGUGGUUUGUUAAGUUGGAUGUGAAAGCCCCGGGCUCAACCUGGGAACUGCAUCCAAAACUGGCAAGCUAGAGUACGGUAGAGGGUGGUGGAAUUUCCUGUGUAGCGGUGAAAUGCGUAGAUAUAGGAAGGAACACCAGUGGCGAAGGCGACCACCUGGACUGAUACUGACACUGAGGUGC